rnacentral:rRNA from 1 species
GAUGAACGCUGGCGGCGUGCCUAAUACAUGCAAGUCGAGCGAACGGACGAGAAGCUUGCUUCUCUGAUGUUAGCGGCGGACGGGGGAGUAACACGUGGAUAACCUACCUAUAAGACUGGGAUAACUUCGGGAAACCGGGGCUAAGACCGGAUAAUAGUUUGAACCGCAUGGUUCAAAAGUGAAAGACGGUCUUGCUGUCACUUAUAGAUGGAUCCGCGCUGCAUUAGCUAGUUGGUAAGGUAACGGCUUACCAAGGCAACGAUGCAUAGCCGACCUGAGAGGGUGAUCGGCCACACUGGAACUGAGACACGGUCCAGACUCCUACGGGAGGCAGCAGUAGGGAAUCUUCCGCAAUGGGCGAAAGCCUGACGGAGCAACGCCGCGUGAGUGAUGAAGGUCUUCGGAUCGUAAAACUCUGUUAUUAGGGAAGAACAUAUGUGUAAGUAACUGUGCACAUCUUGACGGUACCUAAUCAGAAAGCCACGGCUAACUACGUG